UUGGUCAAUGGCCGAAAGGCUGAACCAGUAACUUGGAAGAAUGAAAGUGUAUUAUAUUAAUACAAUAACGAUUAACUCGUAUAAAAUUCUAAAUAGGAUAAUGAUAAUGACAAUUUCCUAUUUAUAAGUCUUGACCAAAUUACGUGCCAGCAGUCGCGGUAAUACAGUAGAAGACUAGUGUUAGUCAUCUUUAUUAGGUUUAAAGGGUACCUAGACGGUAAAUUAAACUCUAAAAGAGUACUUUUUUACUAGAGUUUUAUAAGAGAAGGAAGAAUUUCUGGAGUAGAGAUAAAAUACGUUGAUACCAGAAGGACUGGUAACGGCGAAGGCAUCCUUCUAUGUAAAAACUGACGUUGAGGGACGAAGGCUUGGGUAGACAAUAAGGAUUAGAUACCCUAGUAGUCCAAGCAGAAAAUGAUGAAUGUCAUAGGCUAGAUAUAACAUUUAGUAUAUAAAUGAAAGUGUAAGCAUUCCACCUCAAGAGUAAUAUGGCAACAUAUAAACUGAAAUCAUUAGACCGUUUCUGAAACCAGUAGUGAAGUAU
rnacentral:rRNA from 1 species